CCCCUCCUGCCGCCCCGCAGCCACUCCGUCCUGGACGUGGCCCACGCUCCUCCUCACCCUGCACCCCGCCCCCUGCGGACCUCUGUAUCAGGACAUUGAGUUCUUCCAGUUGCUCUGAGGCCGGAACUCUUGACACGUCCCAUGUCACACUGGGAGAACCCGAGAGGCAGGGAACCGGGCCAGAUCACCAGGGGCCAAAACAAUUGCCCCCCUUCCAUCACAAGCCAGUGGCCUUAGGAAAGUUCUCCAAACUUCUCAUCUGUAGGAUGACUUGGAGCAGGGUCUCUCUGGAGGGCAGCUGCAGGGUAGCUGGACUUCCGACACGGUGGCCCAGGGCAUCAAAGGCACAAGUGGAGGAGUAGUGAGCCAGGCAGAAGAUGGAUUGCCCUUUCUGCGCCGGCCUCAGAAGCCUCACGGAGCCUCUGCCACCACAGCUCUUCAUCGAGGCGGUUUCCAGGACCUGCGGGGCCUCCGGCGGAGCGGGAAGGGCAGGGUGCCUUUAAUCUCUUCUGGUGGAAACGGCAGCGUUCUGGAAGAGCAUGAGGGAUCAGAAGUCUUGCUAUUGUGUGAUCACUUUGGGAAAUAAAGAAAGUCUGCCGUGCUGACACAGGCCAGGCCCAGCACCCAAAGUUUAAACACAUUUUUCUCAUUUUAUUCUCCCCUCUACACAAGAGGUAGGUAUUAUCCUACGC